GCGGGUAUAGCUCAAUGGUAGAGCACAUGCUUAGUGUGUGUGAGGUCCUGGGUUUGAUUCUCAGUACAUCCA
rnacentral:tRNA from 1 species